rnacentral:rRNA from 1 species
GACGAACGCUGGCGGCGUGCUUAACACAUGCAAGUCGAGCGGUAAGGCCCUUUCGGGGGUACACGAGCGGCGAACGGGUGAGUAACACGUGGGUGACCUGCCCUCAGCUCUGGGAUAAGCCUGGGAAACUGGGUCUAAUACCGGAUAUGACCCCAUGACGCAUGUCGUGGGGUGGAAAGCCUUGUGCGGCUGAGGAUGGGCCCGCGGCCUAUCAGCUUGUUGGUGGGGUGAUGGCCUACCAAGGCGACGACGGGUAGCCGGCCUGAGAGGGCGACCGGCCACACUGGGACUGAGACACGGCCCAGACUCCUACGGGAGCAGCAGGUGGGGAAUCUUGCGCAAUGGGCGAAAGCCUGACGCAAGCGACGCCGCGUGAGGGAUGACGGCC